rnacentral:rRNA from 1 species
CACGGGGGGAGCAAGCGUUGUUCGGAAUCACUGGGCGUAAAGGGCACGUAGGCGGCCUGAUAAGUCGGGGGUGAAAUGCUGCGGCUUAACCGCAGCACGGCCUUCGAGACUGUCGGGCUUGAGCACGGUAGAGGCAGAUGGAAUUCCCGGUGUAGCGGUGGAAUGCGUAGAGAUCGGGAAGAACAUCGGUGGCGAAGGCGGUCUGCUGGGCCGUUGCUGACGCUGAGGCGCGACAGCGUGGGGAGCAAACAGG